CAGAAUAACCGGUAGAUGGUUCUGCAGUAUGUGCACUUGGACUUGUUAUCGAUCUGAUCCGUCUGUUGUUGCCCGACUCGAGUGAGACAAUUGGGCGUUGACAGUUGCACUCCACCAAUUAACGGCGUCCUUGCAACCGUUUCUUAGUUGAGUAUAUAUGCUUCGCUGACACUCUGAGCAUGAAAAUUUGAGUUGAAAAUCGCCCACACGUCUUAAGAUCAACUGUCAGAAGAAAGACAAGCUUAUAUUCCAGGUACCCGUCUGCCUCUGCCCGCAGGCAGCGCGUCGACUGUGUUUGUGCCGAACUGGGGGCCUCUCUCCUGCACUCCUGGGAGAGGAGGCGAGGGAUCGCCGAGGUCAUCUCGGUCUUCCGUCGUCCUUGUAGCGCCGUAACACCGCGACGAGGAGUGUCACCUGCCGUCUCCGCCGGAGUGACGCCGCCCUGCCGCCGACUCCGAGGCACCGUCUGCCGCUAGCGGGUGAUAUGGAGGACGCGCGGAUGUGAGAUCAGAGUUCUUCUGCACCU